UACACUUAUAACUCGAGAUCUGCUGGACCAAUUUUCAUGGUUUUUGAUUUGUUGGAUUUGUCUCCGCUACGAGUAGGAUAGUAGAUCUUAAAAAUACUGAAAUAAUUUGACGAAUACUUGAAAAACACGGUUUUUUCCCUAAAGAUUCAAAUUUCCAUUAAUACUCAGUAGGCUUGAUAACAGUGACAUUUUCGGUCCUGCUCUCAUAUUAAAAAGUAAAUAAACAAAUGUAGUCAGUCAGUCUACGGCACAGCCUCAGGCGAACCUGACUAUUCAUAAAAAA